GGACCAUAUGGUGGUUCUAUUUUUAGUUUCUCAAGGAACCUCAUACUGUUUUCUAUUGCAGCUGCACUAGUUUACUUUCCUACCAACAGUGUCCAAGGGUUCUCUUUUCUGCCCAUCCUCGAUAACAUUGGUUAUCUCUUGUCUUCUUGAUAAUAAAAAUUUAGCUGUUUUCCCAAUGCUGAUCAGAGGGACCACCAGUCUCAUGGAGAAGCCAGGCCUGAGGAAAAAGCCAGGCCAGGAAUGACUGCAUUUGCCCAGCUCUGUGUGGCUGCCUGGAUCCUGUUAAGUUCAUACUGUUGCCUAAAUAAAACGGAGCACACGGUAAGCGCAGGAGAAGGCGUGCUCUCCUCCAUGUAUGGUCACCUGAAAUGCUGCAGACUUUCAAGAUGGUGGAAGGAAUAUGGAUUUAUUUAAGAAAAAAAAUAGAAAACGCAGAUGGGCAAAAAGUUGCACGGUGACUCGUUUUUCUCUUUGACCGGCCACGUGAUAAUUGAGAGAAGGUACCUAAACUCCAGCUGCGGCGAUACCUUCAGCUGCCCCGCUUCCUUAACUUACCAAGUCUGGAGUGUUUAGUUCUGUCUUCAAGUCUGUGAGAUACCCCCCCGGACCCUUUCAAUAAAAUCUUUCUUCUGUUUAAGCUAGGGAAUCACUUUUCGGAGUGUGAUA